CCACUGCACUCCAGCCUGGGCGACAGAGUGAGACUCCGUCUCCAAAAAGAAAACAAAAAGAAAAGAAUGAGAAGAUUAGAAAUGUCGGAUUGUGUGAAGCUGUUGUACAGUUUACAAGGUAAUACCUCUAAGUGCCUUUUAAAGUUCAGUGGAUUCUUAAAACUUCUGCUGGAGAAUUGUCCCAAAGAUAUUUUUUUAACCUUCGUAGGACUUUAAGCCCAUCAAAACCUGCAAAAUCUUUACAUAUACAAAAGAACAGACAGGGCCGGGCGCGGUGGCUCAAGCCUGUAAUCCCAGCAC